AAGUGGGAAACGAUGUGGGAAGGCCCAGACAGCCAGGAUGUUGGCUUAGAAGCAGCCAUCAUUUAAAGAAAGCGUAAUAGCUCACUGGUCGAGUCGGCCUGCGCGGAAGAUGUAACGGGGCUAAACCAUGCACCGAAGCUGCGGCAGCGACACUAUGUGUUGUUGGGUAGGGGAGCGUUCUGUAAGCCUGCGAAGGUGUACUGUGAGGUAUGCUGGAGGUAUCAGAAGUGCGAAUGCUGACAUAAGUAACGAUAAAGCGGGUGAAAAGCCCGCUCGCCGGAAGACCAAGGGUUCCUGUCCAACGUUAAUCGGGGCAGGGUGAGUCGACCCCUAAGGCGAGGCCGAAAGGCGUAGUCGAUGGGAAACAGGUUAAUAUUCCUGUACUUGGUGUUACUGCGAAGGGGGGACGGAGAAGGCUAUGUUGGCCGGGCGACGGUUGUCCCGGUUUAAGCGUGUAGGCUGGUUUUCCAGGCAAAUCCGGAAAAUCAAGGC
rnacentral:rRNA from 1 species